rnacentral:rRNA from 1 species
GACGAACGCUGGCGGCGUGCUUAACACAUGCAAGUCGAACGCUGAAGCUCAGCUUUUGUUGGGUGGAUGAGUGGCGAACGGGUGAGUAACACGUGAGUAACCUGCCCCCUUCUUUGGGAUAACGCCCGGAAACGGGUGCUAAUACUGGAUAUUCACUGGUCUUCGCAUGGGGGUUGGUGGAAAGGGGUUUUCUGGUGGGGGAUGGGCUCGCGGCCUAUCAGCUUGUUGGUGGGGUGAUGGCCUACCAAGGCUUUGACGGGUAGCCGGCCUGAGAGGGUGACCGGGAACAUUGGGACUGAGAUACGGCCCAGACUCCUACGGGGGGCAGCAGUGGGGAAUAUUGCACAAUGGGCGCAAGCCUGAUGCAGCGACGCCGCGUGAGGGAUGGAGGCCUUCGGGUUGUGAACCUCUUUCGCUAAUGGUCAAGCCGCAACAAUGGUUGUGGUGAGGGUAGUGGGUAAAGAAGCGCCGGCUAACUACGUG